rnacentral:rRNA from 1 species
AUUGAACGCUGGCGGCAUGCUUUACACAUGCAAGUCGAACGGUAACAGGGAGCUUGCUCCGCUGACGAGUGGCGAACGGGUGAGUAAUGCGUCGGAACGUGCCGAGUAGUGGGGGAUAACGCAUCGAAAGGUGUGCUAAUACCGCAUACGUACUGAGGUAGAAAGUGGGGGACCUUCGGGCCUCACGCUACUCGAGCGGCCGACGUCUGAUUAGCUAGUUGGUGGGGUAAAGGCUCACCAAGGCGACGAUCAGUAGCGGGUCUGAGAGGAUGAUCCGCCACACUGGGACUGAGACACGGCCCAGACUCCUACGGGAGGCAGCAGUGGGGAAUUUUGGACAAUGGGCGCAAGCCUGAUCCAGCCAUGCCGCGUGUCUGAAGAAGGCCUUCGGGUUGUAAAGGACUUUUGUCCGGGAGCAAAUGCCUGGUGUUAAUAGCACUGGGAGCCGAGAGUACCGGAAGAAUAAGCACCGGCUAACUACGUGCCAGCCGCCGCGGUAAAAC